rnacentral:tRNA from 1 species
GGCGCGAUAGCUGGGUGGUAAAGCGCUAGGUUCUAAACCGGUGGUCCCGGGUUCGAAUCCUGGUGAUGACU